rnacentral:rRNA from 1 species
UGAGGGAUAUUGGUCAAUGGGCGCAAGCCUGAACCAGCGACGCCGCGUGGGUGAAGAAGGUCUUCGGAUCGUAAAGCCCUUUUCCCACUGAAGAGGAAGGACGGUAGGUGGGGAAGAAGUCUCGGCUAACUACGUGCCAGCAGCCGCGGUAAAACGUAGGAGACAAGCGUUAUCCGGAGUUACUGGGCGUAAAGGGCGUGCAGGUGGCGUCUUAAGUCUGUUGUGAAAGCGCCUGGCUUAACCGGGCGAGGCCAAUGGAGACUGAGAGGCGGGAGGACGGCGGAGGGGUGUGGAAUUCCGGGUGUAGUGGUGAAAUGCGUAGAGAUCCGGAGGAACACCAGAGGCGAAGGCGGCACUCUAAGCCGUACCUGACACUGAGACGCGACAGCACGGGGAGCAAACG